AUUCGAGAUAUUUUAUUGGUUCCGCCAUAUUUUGUCGGCACCAAUAGGAUGGAUAAGCUGUCCAGACUCUUACUUUAGGAACUCUAGUGAGUUCUCGAGAAAGUUCUUGAAAAAUUAAAUAAAAAAAUAGUAAUUUGUAAAUUUUUAUUUCAAGAUUUAGUUUUUGGGAUAUAAGGGUUUAAAACUAAUCUAUCAGAGAUUACGUUUAGACGAUCAUCUGUCAUACGUUCACUAAUACUAUUAUACUAAAUGAUAUAUGUUCAGGUACUCUGAAGCAAGCUGCAUUGGAUCAAUAGGACAUGACGUUAAAACGCGAACCUUUUGUCCAUCUUGGGUCAUGAAUUCGAUUGCUUGUUCACCAUCCAUAAGUCCAGCCUGCUCAAUACUUCCUAGCUGAUUAAUUGUCGCGACUGCCGUAGCAUCGGUAUUUUCAUCCUAUAAAAAACAGUGUGUUAAAAUAUUUCAGUAACAAAGUAUUUUAUUAUCAAAUAUAAAAAUGAUAUAUUUUUAUGAUCAGUGCAAUUAAUCGCACUUUUAUAAUUCCUGAUUUUCAUCUGUAUCACAUAGAAUUUACUCCUUUUUUCCUCCAUCUGUUGCUGAACAUCUUAAAAAAAA